rnacentral:rRNA from 1 species
GAUGAACGCUGGCGGCGUGCCUAAUACAUGCAAGUCGAGCGAACGGACGAGAAGCUUGCUUCUCUGAUGUUAGCGGCGGACGGGUGAGUAACACGUGGAUAACCUACCUAUAAGACUGGGAUAACUUCGGGAAACCGGAGCUAAUACCGGAUAAUAUUUUGAACCGCAUGGUUCAAAAGUGAAAGACGGUCUUGCUGUCACUUAUAGAUGGAUCCGCGCUGCAUUAGCUAGUUGGUAAGGUAACGGCUUACCAAGGCAACGAUGCAUAGCCGACCUGAGAGGGCGAUCGGCCACACGGGAACGGAGACGCGGUCCAGACUCGUAAGGGAGGCAGCAGCAGGGAACCUUCCGGAAGGGGCGAAAGCCUGACGGAGCAACGCCGCGUGAGUCAUGAAGGUCUUCGGAUCGUAAAACUCUGUUAUUAGGGAAGAACAUAGGUGUAAGUAACUGUGCACAUCUUGACGGUACCUAAUCAGAAAGCCACGGCUAACUCCGU